rnacentral:rRNA from 1 species
AUCUACAGGCUUAACACAUGCAAGUCGAGGGGCAUCAGGAAGAAAGCUUGCUUUCUUUGCUGGCGACCGGCGCACGGGUGAGUAACACGUAUCCAACCUGCCCUUUACUCGGGGAUAGCCUUUCGAAAGAAAGAUUAAUACCCGAUAGCAUAAUGAUUCCGCAUGGUUUCAUUAUUAAAGGAUUCCGGUAAAGGAUGGGGAUGCGUUCCAUUAGGUUGUUGGUGAGGUCACGGCUCACCAAGCCUUCGAUGGAUAGGGGUUCUGAGAGGAAGGUCCCCCACAUUGGAACUGAGACACGGUCCAAACUCCUACGGGAGGCAGCAGUGAGGAAUAUUGGUCAAUGGGCGCUAGCCUGAACCAGCCAAGUAGCGUGAAGGAUGAAGGCUCUAUGGGUCGUAAACUUCUUUUAUAUAAGAAUAAAGUGCAGUAUGUAUACUGUUUUGUAUGUAUUAUAUGAAUAAGGAUCGGCUAACUCCGUGCCAGCAGCCGCGGUAAUACGGAGGAUCCGAGCGUUAUCCGGAUUUAUUGGGUUUAAAGGGAGCGUAGGUGGACUGGUAAGUCAGUUGUGAAAGUUUGCGGCUCAACCGUAAAAUUGCAGUUGAUACUGUCAGUCUUGAGUACAGUAGAGGUGGGCGGAAUUCGUGGUGUAGCGGUGAAAUGCUUAGAUAUCACGAAGAACUCCGAUUGCGAAGGCAGCUCACUGGACUGCAACUGACACUGAUGCUCGAAAGUGUGGGUAUCAAACAGGAUUAGAUACCCUGGUAGUCCACACAGUAAACGAUGAAUACUCGCUGUUUGCGAUAUACAGUAAGCGGCCAAGCGAAAGCAUUAAGUAUUCCACCUGGGGAGUACGCCGGCAACGGUGAAACUCAAAGGAAUUGACGGGGGCCCGCACAAGCGGAGGAACAUGUGGUUUAAUUCGAUGAUACGCGAGGAACUUUACCCGGGCUUAAAUUGCAGUGGAAUGAUGUGGAAACAUGUCAGUGAGCAAUCACCGCUGUGAAGGUGCUGCAUGGUUGUCGUCAGCUCGUGCCGUGAGGUGUCGGCUUAAGUGCCAUAACGAGCGCAACCCUUAUCUUCAGUUACUAACAGGUCAUGCUGAGGACUCUGGAGAGACAGCCGUCGUAAGAUGUGAGGAAGGUGGGGAUGACGUCAAAUCAGCACGGCCCUUACGUCCGGGGCUACACACGUGUUACAAUGGGGGGUACAGAAGGCAGCUAGCGGGUGACCGUAUGCUAAUCCCAAAAGCCUCUCUCAGUUCGGAUCGAAGUCUGCAACCCGACUUCGUGAAGCUGGAUUCGUUAGUAAUCGCGCAUCAGCCACGGCGCGGUGAAUACGUUCCCGGGCCUUGUACACACCGCCCGUCAAGCCAUGGGAGCCGGGGGUACCUGAAGUACGUAACCGCAAGGAUCGUCCUAGGGUAAAACUGGUGACUG